UCCCCGCUUCGGGUCUAAGAGAGUAAGCCCAAGUCCGCCCCGUCACCCCGUUUUUGCGGGGAAAAACCGCCCCAUUAGGGGCGGUGCACCGCAGUUUCAGAUAUGGACGGGGCAAAUUGACAUCCCUAUCAGGAGAGACGUUAAGGCAACAAUGUUCCCACCCACCAUGGGUUUUGACAUUUAUUGCCUAGAAUCACAAGCUAGCAAUCUUAUUAAUGGUGUUGUACUGAUUUGCACAACUUUACCUACAGCAAACUUUAUAUUGUUGAUGGAAUAUUGUGGUAACAACAAUUGUACGGGAGUUUCAGGUUUGGUCUUGUGGGCUUCGCUUCAUGCUUGGAAAAUGUGUACGAUCACAAAGAAGAUUUUUUUGAGACGCCGCCCUAGUAUACGAGACAGACAGGGCAGAGAUAGUAGAAAAGGUGGGGUCCGUGUGGAGAGAAAUCAAAGGCGACAUAAAAUCACAUGAACGAUGAGACUGAUGCCUCAAGCACAUUGAAUGCAUUUAAGCAUUGUGCAAUUAAUUAUUUAAAAAAAAAAUGAGUUUUACUACCAAAGAAUUCUGUGUGUAAGGGAAAUAUGAUUUUAACUGAAUUCUAUUUUCUAAGGCAAUAAAUAAAUAAAAACUCAAUUCUAUC